ACGGAGGGUGCAAGCGUUAUCCGGAAUCAUUGGGUUUAAAGGGUCCGUAGGCGGGUGUUUAAGUCAGUGGUGAAAUGCAGGGGCUCAACUCCGGCACUGCCAUUGAUACUGAACAUCUUGAAUUAUUGUGAAGUGGCUAGAAUAUGUAGUGUAGCGGUGAAAUGCUUAGAUAUUACAUAGAAUACCGAUUGCGAAGGCAGGUCACUAACAAUACAUUGACGCUGAGGGACGAAAGCGUGGGUAGCGAACAGG
rnacentral:rRNA from 1 species